GCUGCUCCUGCCUGUCGGUUGCUAGGCGCUGGGACGCGCCUCCCGAAGGGUGUGGGGCCACAGGUGGCCUCCUCGGGGUGGGCCGCGCCUGGCCGGGGCCGAGGACACCGUGGCCGCUUCGGCCUGCGAGAAGCGAUGGAGCCCGGGAAGGGAAGUAUCUGGAGCUGCAGCCCAGGAGGACCAGGCGGAAACCCAUCGUCCUGGGAGGCCCAUGAUGCCUUCUGUCCUGGGUUGAGCCCAGCGGCCACAGAAGGAGCACAGACUCCCUCUAGAAGAACCAAAGAUGAUACCUGGAAAGCAGAUGACCUCAGAAAACAUCUCUGGGCCAUACAGUCAGGUGGUUCCAAGGAAGAAAAGAAGCACAGAGAGAAGAAGCUGCGUAAGGAGUCUGAGAUGGACCUUCCUGAACACAAGGAGCCGAGGUUCAGGGAUCCUGACCAGGAUGCCAGGAGCAGAGACAGGGUGGCCGAAGUCCACACAGCUAAGGAGAGUCCUCGUGGGGAGAGGGACAGAGACAGACAGAGGGAGAGGAGAAGAGACACAAAAGACCGGGAGAGAGAAAAGCUGAAGGAGAGACAUCGAGAGGCAGAAAAGUCUCACAGCAGAGGAAAGGACAGGGAAAAAGAAAAAGACAGAAGGGCCCGGAAGGAAGAACUCCGGCAGACGGUGGCCCACCACAAUCUGCUGGGCCAGGAGACGCACGACCGGUGGCUUCUGGAGCGGGCGGAGAGGAAAGGCCGCUCAGUAAGUAAAGUAAGAAGUGAAGAGAAGGAUGAAGACUCUGAAGGAGGAGACGAAGGCAGAGAGAGAAGAUACCGAGAAAGAAAGCUGCAGUACAGAGACAGCAAGGACAACCCUCUCAAGUACUGGCUUUAUAAAGAAGAAGGCGAGAGGAGACACAGGAAGCCCAGAGAGCCAGAUCGAGACAAGAAACACCGAGAAAAAAGCAGCACAAGGGAAAAAAGAGAGAAAUAUUCCAAAGAGAAAAGUAAUUCAUUCUCUGACAAAGAAGGGGAAGAAAGACAUAAAGAAAAGCGACACAAAGAAGGCCUUCGUUUUGAUGAUGAGAGGCACCGAAGCAACGUGGAUGGAAAAGAGAGAUUGGCGAAAGAUGAGCACAGGGAAAGGGAAUCCAAGAACGGUGAACACAGAAAUCGAGGUGCAAGCUCAAAAAGAGAUGGGACCAGCAGCCAGCAUGCUGAGAAUUUAGUAAGGAAUCACGGAAAAGAUAAAGAUUCAAGAUGGAAGCAUGGCCACGAGGAAGGCUCUUUUGUGUGGUGGAAGCUGGACCAGAGGCCAGGAGGCGAGGAAACGGUGGAAAUUGAAAAGGAAGAAACUGAUUUAGAAAAUGCUAGAGCUGAUGCAUAUACAGCCAGUUGUGAAGAUGAUUUUGAAGACUACGAAGAUGACUUUGAGGUUUGUGAUGGCGAUGAUGAUGAAAGCAGUAAUGAACCCGAGUCAAGAGGAAAGAUGGAAGAACUUCCUCUAGCUCAAAAAAAGGAAAUACAAGAAAUUCAAAGAGCCAUUAAUGCAGAAAAUGAAAGGAUUGGCGAGUUGUCUUUGAAACUGUUUCAGAAGCGAGGUAGAACAGAAUUUGAAAAGGAGCCCAGGACAGAUGCAAACAGUUCCUCUUCCAGAGCCUCCGUUUGUGGAAUUUUUGUGGAUUUUGCCUCAGCUUCACACCGUCAAAAGAGUCGGACUCAGGCCCUUAAGCAAAAGAUGCGAAGUACAAAACUGCUUCGGCUCAUUGACUUAGACUUUUCAUUUACUUUCUCUCUCUUGGAUCUACCACCAGUAAAUGAAUAUGACAUGUAUAUCAGAAACUUUGGGAAAAAAAAUACCAAGCAGGCAUAUGUUCAGUGUAACGAAGAUAAUGUUGAAAGAGACAUUCAAACGGAGGAAAUAGAGACCAGGGAAGUGUGGACCCAGCACCCGGGAGAAAGUACUGUUGUAUCUGGAGGCAGUGAACAAAGAGAUACCUCUGAUGCUGUAGUUAUGCCAAAGAUUGAUACUCCAAGGUUAUGUAGCUUUCUGCGGGCGGCUUGUCAGGUGAUGGCCGUUUUGCUGGAAGAGGGUCGCCUGGCAGCUGAACCCAGCUGGAAUCUUAGGGCUCAAGACAGGGCCCUGUAUUUUAGUGACAGCUCAUCUCAGCUGAACACCAGUCUGCCAUUCCUUCAGAAUCGAAAAGUAUUCUCUUUGCACGCCUCCCGAGUUCAGAGGCAGAUGGUGGUCUCCGUUCAUGACUUACCCGAGAAGACCUUUGUGCCUCUGCUGGACAGCAAAUACGUCCUCUGUGUGUGGGAUAUUUGGCAGCCUUCAGGGCCACAGAAGGUUCUGAUAUGUGAGUCCCAGGUCACAUGUUGCUGCUUGAGCCCUUUCAAAGCAUUUUUACUGUUUGCUGGAACAGCGCACGGCUCAGUUGUCGUCUGGGAUUUGAGAGAAGACUCAAGGCUGCAUCACUCUGUGAAGCUGAGUGAUGGUUUCUGGACGUUCCGGACCGCCACGUUUUCCACCGAUGGAAUCCUUACCUCAGUAAACCACCAAAGCCCUCUUCAAGCAGUAGAACCUAUCUCAACGUCCGUCCACAAAAAGCAGAGCUUUGUGCUUUCACCCUUUUCUACUCAAGAAGAAAUGUCAGGUUUGUCCUUCCACGUCGCUUCCUUGGAUGAGAGUGGGGUUCUCAAUGUGUGGGUGGUUGUUGAAUUACCAAAGGCAGACAUCGCAGGUUCAAUAAGUGAUUUAGGUCUGAUGCCUGGAGGGAGGGUCAAGCUGGUCCAUAGUGCUCUGAUCCAGUUGGGUGACAGACUUUGCUCAACCAACCGCGUUAAGCUUAUUCUACGUGCCAGGCAUUGUAGCGCUAGGGGGGAGCAUCCUCUGUCAAGGUGCUCCGAGAAGGAGGUGGACGAGUAAACAUUACGUGAUUGCAGGGGGCGCUCCCUGCUUUCCCAGGAAGAAGGCUCUGCAGUGGAGUUCAAAGUGAGGAUGUUUCUUAAGGAGUUCCUUGGGCUCACUGCCUGGGAAAGGGUGGGGAGGAGGCAGAAUGGGGCCGAGAGGAAGAGCUGAGCUGUGAGGCAGGCCCCACGGCCGACUCUCCAGAGCCUGGGAGUUGUGAGCUGGAAUGGCCUCCCAGAAUCACGUGGCUGGGCCUUUGUACCCCCCCCGCCAUCCCGUCAGUCACUGAGCAUGAGUGUCCCCGGGAGGACAUUGCCGGCGGGGAAGCAGGUCCAGCUCUGCUUGCACCAGCCCUGCAGCUAGGCCCCGUCCGUCAGGGUCUUCGUGCAGAGGACAAAGUGUGCUGUCAGGAUGUGCACAGGGCUUGUGGGAGCUCAAAGGAUGGGGGCAGCUUUGGGGAUGGAGUGCAAUGGGGACAUCUUGAGGAGGCAAAGACUGAGCCAGGCCUUUGAGAUGGAGUUAGAUGGUCAGAGGGAGCAGCACCUGGGGGUGCCCAGAGGCACAUUUGGAGCUGUCAGUGGGCCUGAUGUUGAGGGAGACAGGUGAGUCAGGCCCUAACGAGUUUGUCUGCUGUGCUAAAGGGUGUGGACAUUAGCGUAAAGGUGGUCACGAGCCAUUGCAGGAUGUUGAGCUGAGGAGCAACGCGUCUUGUCUGUGAUGUAGAUGGGUCAGUGUGGCAGCGGCAUAAGGUGGGAACAGAGGAAGGGAGGCUGGAGUCAGGGAGAGCAGUUAGGAGGCCUCUGGAGUGACUGACAUGAAUGACCAGGAUCUGAACAAAGGCAGCAAUCACAGGUACAGAGGGCUGGACACAGGCUGAAGGGGUAGAACUUAAAAAACCCAGCAGCUCAUCGAUUAUAGGAGCAGUGGGAGGGAGGAGCCUAGGUUGGCCUCUGCCUCCACCAGCAUGUCUGGUUGGUGACUGGGCACCACUCACCAGGCGAGGAUAGGAGCGGGGAGGGUUGGGAGCAGCCCAGUGUGUUCCAGUGAGGACAGGCUGAGCUUGUGGUACCCGUGGAGAUGCCCAGGAGCCAGAGGCCUCCAUAGCAGAAACCCCAGAUGGAGGUAAGGAUUUGAGAGUCAUCAACCAAGAGGUGGCAUUUGUAUUCCUGAAUGUGGACGGAAAGAGAAAAUUGGAAAGGAGGCUGAUGGCAUGGCCACAUGCCGACUUUGAUGAUGUGGGUGUGGCAGAUGGAGCAACUGUUGGCAUCUGUUACAAAUACAUAGGCCAUAUAAAGGAAAAAAUAAAACUAAGUAUAGUUUUUAAAAGGAAAGGAAAAUCUCUAAAUGCCAUAAACAGGAGAGAGCUUAAAGUUAGUGUCAUAAGCUUUUGAGCUGCUGUGUGAUGGCUUGGAGGCUGGGUGUAAAGCCCAGGCUAUCUCAGACCUUCUGAGCUGUCUCUGGGGUUUGAGCCCCAUGCAGAACCAGGUGAUGCAUUGGGUUUGCCUGAGGCAAGGAGGUAGAACUGAGACCCCUGCACAGGACUCUGGAACUCACUGCUCCUGCAGUGAUAGGGAAAUUCAGAAAGCCUCACCACAGCCAAGGGAAGACAGAGGAGCUUGGAAGAGCUUGAAAUUCUAAGCUGAGUGGGUGUGUGGGAACCUACAAGCUGAGACAUUAACAUCACAGUUCUAGACCAGUGGCCUCAGUGGGUUCAUAGUUAAAGUAGACGCAAAACCACCUGGUGGGUAAAGGUAUGUUUGUAAAUUGGGGCUCACAGGAUUCUUAUGAGAAGUAGUCUGCUGCAGAUGAGUUUGCAACUACAAGCAUGAAGAAACAGUCUACCUUGGUGCAAAAAGUAGGAGUCACUCAAGUAGAACUUGAGACAGUUGUACAAUCUAAAAGACAUUUCUAGAAAUGAAACUUCUCUGAAAUUUAUAACCAAGUGAAUGGUUACAUAGCAGAUUAGAUGUAGCUGAAGGAAGAAUUAGUGAACAGAAGGAAAAUUCUGAAAAAAUUAUCAAGAGUAUAGUAGCAGAAGAAAAUGGAAACAAAGAGUGGCUAAACCCACAGAGGAAUGUGACAUGGCCUGUUAUACAUCGAUGUAUUGUAGUACAAAUCAUUGUUAAUACCAUCAUUAUUCUUAAGGUUGGAAACAGUCCAUCUGUUCAUCUUUGUUACUUUAUUUUUUCAGUCUUUCCCAUAAAGGUAAUGAAUUUUGGGGCACUACACAAACACUGAAUGUUAAAUUUCUGCCUUCAGAUCCUAAUCACUUUAUUGUUGGCACAGACAUGGGUCUCAUAAGCCAUGGCACAAGACAAGAUUUGAGAGUGGCUCCC